CCCCGAUGACCCCAACCCCCGAUGACCCCCCGAUGACCCCGUGACCCCCCGAUGACCCCGUGACCCCACCGGACGUAGAAUCCCCUCUUGGGGUCGCUGCGCAGGGACGCGGAGCCGGAGCCCAAACUGCUGCUGAGCAGCUGCUCUCUCAAGUCGUGGAUCUUGGACUCGAAGCGGCUGUACUCUGCAAGAGGGCAAAGGGCAAAGGUCACACGGGGGUCAUAGGGUCAAGGGGUCAUGGGGUCAAUGGGGUCAGGGGGGGGCAGAGGUAUCAGGGCAUCGUGGGCUGCAGUGGCAAUGGGGAGAAUCUAUGGGGCAGGAUCUAUGGGGCAGAGUGGAUGAGUGGGGCAGGAUCUAUGGGGCAGAGUGGAUCUAUGGGGCAGGAUCUAUGGGGCAGAGUGGAUCAGUGGGGCAGGAUCUAUGGGGUGGGAUCUAUAGGGUGAGAUCUAUGGGUUGGGAUCUAUGGGGCAGGAUCUAUGGGGCAGAGUGGAUCAGUGGGGCAGGAUCUAUGGGGCAGGAUCUAUAGGGCAGGGGGAUCUAUGGGUCAGGAUCUCUGGGUCAGGGUGUAUCUAUGGGUCAGGAUCUAUGGGGCAGGGUGUAUCUAUAGGGCAGGGUGUAUCUAUAGGGCAGGAUGUAUCUAUGGGGCAGAUCUAUAGGGCAGGGUGUAUCUCUGGGUCAGAUCUAUGGGGCAGGCUGUAUCCGUGUGCCCCACACCGUCAGGUUUGUACUGGGCCACGAUGGCGACGCUCUGCCCCGCGUUCUUCAGCGCCACCGCCGCCUGCUCGUGGGUUCGCACCCGCGGGAGGUCAAACGGCCGUUACGCUGGGGGGGGGGGACAAUGGGGUCAAUGGGGGGUUAUAUGGGGGGGGAAGUUAGUAACUGGGGGUGGUAAACAUGGAGACCAAUGGGGGGUAAUAUGGGGGGGGGAGUU
rnacentral:lncRNA from 1 species